UGAAUAUUAUUUUUACAGUAACCUUUCGAUCAUUGGCAUCGAGCCACAGUUACUUGGCUAACACGUCUCUCACGCAUCAAUGGAAACGAAUGCUCACUGUUUCGUAGAAAACUUUGGCGAAGUGCAGAACGUAACGGAAUCUUACGUGCUAAAUAUAGAGAUGUCAACUAAACUCAGGGAUGUUAUGAACAGUUAGAAACAGAAUGCACGAUCGUAAAUACUAUUUUAUCUAACGUGAACUAUAGGUUACGUAAGUUAAGUUUUGUAACAACCUAUGCAAUAAAAACAUUGAAGAUGAAGAAGGAGAGACAAAUUUAUAUGGCCGAACAGUAGGAACCUAGACGCCGGUGCUCCAGAAGCGGUGGCUCGCAAAGAAAGAGGAGACCAACUUGAGGAAGAAGGUGGUGAGAAGGUGGUGGAGAAUGGAAGAAAGGGAAGUAGGAGGAGGAAGAGGAGGAGGAGGAGAGAAAGAACAGGAGAAGGCAGCACUGUGAGGCACUUUACUAGAUGCAUAUAUAGGGUGUUUCCUGUAUGUUUAUCCAAAAGAUAUUAUAAUAUUAAUAGAUAUAUGAGAAAUAAAAAAAAGGAAUUGUACAAUUCAA